AUGGAGCAGGCAGGAGCCCCACCCUCCUGGUUGCAGCUGAAGCUGCCAAAGUUGCAGUUGCAGACACAGGCCUCCCUGAGAUGUUGGCAGAGCUGGGAGCACACAGCACCCCCACCUCCACAAAGCACAGCUGCAGCUACCCAAACCAUGGCUGUGAACCCAGGCAUCCCUACACUCUUGGAGGCCCAAGAAGGUCCCCCCUGCCCUUGCAGGCUUGGAAGUGCCUGCUCUCACUGCCUGCCUUCUCCCUGCUGUCGGCACCUGCUCCCAUUUAGGAGGAAAAUUGGGAUUGAGCCCAGGCACUGCCACAGCCUGGCUGGGUGUGCACACACUUGGGGCAGUGAUGAUAAGCCAGCCCCUGGCUGCCUCGCCCCCCUUUGGACUUUGGGCACUGACGAUCAUAGGAGGGAAGUUGAUGGGGGGCUGAGGGAAGCUCAGGACUGGCCUGCAGGUGCCCCUGGGCACCUACAGCCUGGGCACCAUGAACAGCAGCAGAAGGUAGACAUGUUCCUGGGCAGAAGGGGGCAAGGCCCAGUGAGGCUCCACCUUCAGGCCAGGGUGGGCCUAAAGGCUGGGGGCCAGGCUACCAGUCCCAUGGACAGGAGCGGGAACUUGUGGUGCCUUUACCGGGCCCACUUAUGGCUGCCCAUGGACCAAUUGGUACAUACUUUCUCCCCACUGAGUCCCGUAAAAGCCCUGGACUCGGCCAGAGCUGAGCAGAUGUCAGGACAAGCAGCUGCAGAGAGGAGCAACCCACUCCAGGGUCUCCUCUCUGCUGAGAGCUGGGGAGACAAUGAGAGGACCUGCCUGCAGAGAGGAGCUACCCACUCCAGGGUCUCCUCUCUUCUAGGAGCUGGACACUUAUCGGGACACCUUGGUUGUGGAAAGAAGCUACUACUGCGAGUUUCCUCUGAGCUGUUCUAUUGCUCAAUAAAGCUCCUCUUCAUCUUGCUCACCCUCCACUUGUCUGCAUACCUCAUUCUUCCUGGUCAUAGGACAAGAACUCAGGACCCGUUGAAUGGUGAGGCAAAAGAGCUGUAA
rnacentral:lncRNA from 1 species